rnacentral:rRNA from 1 species
GAUGAACGCUAGCUACAGGCUUAACACAUGCAAGUCGAGGGGAAACGAUAGGGAAAGCUUGCUUUUUCUAGGCGUCGACCGGCGCACGGGUGAGUAACGCGUAUCCAACCUGCCCAUCACUUGGGGAUAACCUUGCGAAAGUAAGACUAAUACCCAAUGACGUCUCUAGAAGACAUCUGAAGGAGAUUAAAGAUUUAUCGUUGAUGGAUGGGGAUGCGUCUGAUUAGCUUGUUGGCGGGGUAACGGCCCACCAAGGCGACGAUCAGUAGGGGUUCUGAGAGGAAGGUCCCCCACAUUGGAACUGAGACACGGUCCAAACUCCUACGGGAGGCAGCAGUGAGGAAUAUUGGUCAAUGGACGAGAGUCUGAACCAGCCAAGUAGCGUGCAGGAAGACGGCCCUAUGGGUUGUAAACUGCUUUUAUAAGGGAAUAAAGUGAGUCUCGUGAGACUUUUUGCAUGUACCUUAUGAAUAAGGACCGGCUAAUUCCGUGCCAGCAGCCGCCGCAG